GGUGAACAGAUGCGGUGAAAUUGAGCGCGAAGCGAACCAUAAGAGUUAAGAAUGGCAAAGUUUCAAGUUUGCACGAUUGGAAUUUUGGUUCCUUUCAAAUUAUGAACUGGUGCUGAAGGGAGCAUUACCUUUGCUAAGGACGUGAUCAGCCACAGUGUGGCUGACAAAGAGAAUAGCAAAUCGUUAACUUCGUUAUCGAAAAUUACAUUGGGCGCAAUUAUAACAGAUCUCUGGGGUGAAAGAAUCAAGCACGUGAAACGUGGACAACGAAACGGUGUCUUUUGACUACAGUCGAAUCCGCACAACGGCGAGGGAAAUUGGAAAAGGUUCGAGUUAUUGGUAGUUGGGAACGGAGAGACGGUGUUUACUCUUUUUUUUCUAUGCAUAAAGUAUAUAUUUCAAUCAAAUUUAAUUAUAGAGAAAACGAGUAAAUUGGAACACGAUAGAUUAUUGCGGAAGUCACAAAUUAAUGUGAAUGCUUUAGACUGCA